rnacentral:lncRNA from 1 species
ACCUCUCUCAAUCUCUCUCAGAUCUUCUGCUCCUGCUGCAAUUUGUAUGGCAGCCAAUUUCAAGAACACUGGCAUCUUGGGGAAGCGAGUAGUCAACCAGAUCUGGACUCCCAACUCCGCUCGCUCUUUCUCUGUUUCCAAUACUCCGUCUCUCAGGUUUGAUUUGACUUCUUCUCGAUCAUAGAAGUUUUGAUCAUCAGUUUAAUUCAUGUUUAAAUAGCUUAGCUUUGCCGAUUCCACUCCCUGACAUUAAUAAUCUUCAAGAUAUAUUGUUUCUUCUCUGCUCGAAAGUCUUGAUUAUUGUGAUUGUCUAUGUAUGUAUGCGAUAGCGUUGAUACAUUUUCUCCCAAGGAAAGCUCGAAAGUCUCUUACUGAUAUUUCCUGUAAUCCAGAAGUGUUCUACCGUCAAGAUAGAGACGAGUAUUUCCGUACGGACUGCAAAAAUUGAAAACAGUAACAACAAGCGAUUCUAAAGUUAUUUCCGUUUUUAGGGUUCGAGGGGUCUCAAGUUCAAAACUCUUCUUUUUUCUUAUGACAUGACUCUCCCUUGUCUCAAUUCUCCUAAAGUCAAAAAAAAAAAAAAAAAUUAAUCAAGCUGCCGUUCCUUAAUUAUAAAGAAAUUCUAUUCUAGGUGUGUGUAUAUAUAUAUAUAUAUUUCAAGAUAGAUUCAGGAAAUAAUUAAUAAAAUCUCAUUAAUUACUUUUUAUAUUAUAUUUCUCAAUUCACAAGAACUACCAUAAAAUUAAAUACACGCGGAAUCAAGUAAAUAGUGUCAAAAAACUUCAUUCUCAAGUAAUAAUAAUUGCUGGGCACAUGCUAAAACUCGUCGUUUUGUAAAGCCCAGUGUGUUUUAUUUCUUCCUCUUUGUUUGCGUACGGCAAAGCUCCACGAGAUCCACCUUCCUUAGAGAAAAUCUGUCCCUAAACAUGAUCUGAUCCAGAGGGAGUCUGAGUGUGACAUAAAUAUUUUAAGGGAUUACUUUGUCAACUUAUGCAGAAGUUUUCUAGUGUCUUUAUUCACAUAUAAUCAGAUAUUAUUUAUUUAUUAAAUUAAAAAUUUAGAAAUAAUUUGUGGGUUACUUAUCGUUAUCUGGUGGAGUCACGUGACUUUCAAGGGUCAUAUCGUUGUCCCCCAUUUAAUUAUUUUUUAUUAAUCCGCGCCUACCCAUGUAAUUGUCACAUGGCGAGGCCACCUACUCUCCCAUUCACGCAGUAUUAGUUAUUUGUUUUUAAAAAUAAAUAAAUAUAAAAGCUUUUUAUUUUUUUAAAAUCCAAUUAUAAAUCAAAAGGUCUAUACAUGCAUUUAAUUAAAUACAUCGAAAACCAUUUGUGCCAAUAAAUACAAAAAACAAGGUGUUAACGUGUCUAUUCAACUUGUCUUCAUGCAUUUAAUUAAAUAUAUCGAAAACUAUUUGUGUCAACAAAUACAAAAAACAAGGUGUUAACGUGUCUAUUCAAUUUGCCUCGUUAUAGAUCAAACAACUUUUUUCUAACGUAAAAUAGUUAAUGUGUAGAUAUUUGUAACCUGUUUUUAUGACAUCGAGUAACAAAUAUAACUAUGAAUCAAAAAAUUGAUGUUUAUAUAGAAUAAAAUAUAAUAAAAAAUAUAUAUGUUAAUAAAAACAUUAAUUUUUAACGUAAUAAAAGAAUGAAAUAGUAAUAGAAGAAGAAUGAAAUAAUAUUGGAAUUGCUAAAGUGAAUUGUUAUUUUGUUUUAUAAUAAUUUAAAAAAAAAUUGUAAAGAAAAAAAAAAUUCCCCUGCUAUUUUUAAGUAGUCAUAGGGGUUCAUGAGCGGAUGAGGGGUUCACCCAUCAGUCACCCAACCUAUCCUUGAUCCGAUUUCCUAACUUAUUUUUUUGUUCUUGAUUACAAGUAGCUGUAAUUUUUUUAUCACAAAAAUUAUGGUGUGUUUGUUAAGAGGGAUCAAGGGAAGGAUGGAAGAGGGGAGAGGGAUUGUGCUUCACUUUAUUUGGUGAGACUUGAGGAAGGAUUGAAGUAUCUUUCAUCACUUGUAAUUUUCAAUCUCCUAAUUUGCUUCCAAUUUUCCCCUCUUUUUGUAAAUUAAUGCUCUCAAUUUGAUUUGAUUGACUACCAUCAUUUCUCUUCUUGUUAACAAACUUACCCUUUCCUCCCAAAUUUUCUGUAGUUAAUUUCAAUCCUUAUAUUUUGAGUUUACUUUAAUUUAGCCCUCUAAAGAGUUUAUGUUUAAGAGUUGUUUCAAUUAAAUCCCUCAAGAUAACCCCCCAAUUAAAUCCUUGUUUUUUGAAAGUUAUUUCACAUCUUGAAGCUUUUGGUUAUUUAAUUUCCAGGUCUUGUUAAUUUCAUCACUUUUUCUAUGGAGACACCUUUCUUUCCAUUUCUGGUUUAUUUAGUGUUUCCUUCGUUCUCUAAUUAAAAGAGUUACUUCUCGGACCCGUAAGGAAGCCUUAAGUUACUUAGCCAGGUUACUCUAAUCAGAAGUAAUCUUUUAUUCUUAAUUACCAGAUACCAAGUGUUCCCUACAUUUUCCAAUUGUUUUCCUUUACCGCUUUUCUUUUAAUAGUUUUGGUGAAUAUUAUUUUAUACACUAAAACUGCGAUGCUUUUAAAAAGAAUCAGGUGGGAAAAUUAAUGAACAUUAAUCUAAUGCUUUUUAAAAUAUUUGGGACUUAAUCUAUAGAAUUUAUAGGUUUAGAACUCAACCGAAUUUAUAGGUUUAGAACAAAAAUGAGUUUUCUGAGGUUAUAAUUCAUCACAUUUUAUGAGAAUUGCUGCUGACUGCUGCUACUAGCUAGAUGCGUAUGUGUUGUGCUUGUGCCACCCGAUCCCACCUUGAACUUUCUCGUUAUUGGACUCUGUUUAUUGCUCUAAUUAUAGUUUAUGUGAAUCAAUGCUGACGGUGAUAUUGCGGCAGGGGUGCUCACACAUCGGUGUACGACAAGAACCUGGAUGAUGAGUUGCAACCGAAUGUGGUGCCGGAUGAUGUGAUCAAGCCCCAGUCCGACAAGUACUGGGCUCCACACCCACGAACCGGUGUCUUUGGGCCUGCCACUGAGCAGCACCUCUCUGAGAUCAGCGGGGACAGUGCCUCUGUGGGAAACGGUGGUCAGGACCCAGUGUUGGAGGAGAAGGCGUGGUUCCGCCCCACCAGCCUUGAGGACCUGGAGAAGCCACACCGUCUU